CUUUGGCGGGGUUAAAAGGGAAAACGGUGAGAAGCCGUUACAGCCCCGCUACUGUGAAGGGCUACGAAAGUUGAUUUGGGCCACUGUCCUGAGCGUAGUCGAAGGAUGGGAAGGUUCAACCAGUAGGUCUGAAGCCCGAAGUCAGGAAACCUGCCAGAUUCUAAAGCCCUAG
rnacentral:ncRNA from 2 species